rnacentral:rRNA from 1 species
UGGGGAAUUUUGGACAAUGGGCGAAAGCCUGAUCCAGCAAUGCCGCGUGUGUGAAGAAGGCCUUCGGUUGUAAAGCACUUUUGUCCGGAAAGAAAUCCUUGGCUCUAAUACAGUCGGGGGAUGACGGUACCGGAAGAAUAAGCACCGGCUAACUACGUGCCAGCAGCCGCGGUAAUACGUAGGGUGCAAGCGUUAAUCGGAAUUACUGGGCGUAAAGCGUGCGCAGGCGGUUUGCUAAGACCGAUGUGAAAAUCCCCGGGCUCAACCUGGGAACUGCAUUGGUGACUGGCAGGCUAGAGUAUGGCAGAGGGGGGUAGAAUUCCACGUNUAGCAGUGAAAUGCGUAGAGAUGUGGAGGAAUACCGAUGGCGAAGGCAGCCCCCUGGGCCAAUACUGACGCUCAUGCACGAAAAGCGUGGGGAGCAAACAGGAUUAGAUACCCUGGUAGUCCACGCCCUAAAACGAUGUCAACUAGUUGUUGGGGAUUCAUUUCCUUAGUAACGUAGCUAACGCGUGAAGUUGACCGCCUGGGGAGUACGGUCGCAAGAUUAAAAACUCAAAGGAAUUGACGGGGUCAUAGCUGUUUCCU